rnacentral:rRNA from 1 species
UACGUAGGUCCCGAGCGUUGUCCGGAUUUAUUGGGCGUAAAGCGAGCGCAGGUGGUUUAUUAAGUCUGGUGUAAAAGGCAGUGGCUCAACCAUUGUAUGCAUUGGAAACUGGUAGACUUGAGUGCAGGAGAGGAGGGCGGAAUUCCAUGUGUAGCGGUGAAAUGCGUAGAUAUAUGGAGGAACACCGGUGGCGAAAGCGGCUCUCUGGCCUGUAACUGACAUUGAGGCUCGAAAGCGUGGGGAGCAAACAGG